GGGAAACUGAGAAUAAUACUCCAUAGGUCUAGGAUGCUGGAAUGCACUUAGGCUGAAAACUUCGGUGCCUUAGGAUGAGUCUGCGGACUAUCAGGUUGUAGUCAGGGUAAAGACCUGACUAGCCUACGACGGAUACGGGUUGUGAGAGCAAUAACCCGGAGAUGAUAUCUGAGACACGAUAUCAGGCCCUACGGGGCGCAGCAGGCGCGAAAACUUCGCACUGCGCGAAAGCGCGACGAGGGAAUCCCAAGUGUAUGCACGUAAGUGUAUACUGUUUCUCUGUCUAAAAAGCAGAAAGAGUAAGAGCUGGGUAAGACGGGUCCCAGCCCCCGCGGUAAUACCUGCAGCUCGAGUGGUGAUCGUUAUUAUUGGGCCUAAAACGUCCGUAGCCGGUCUUCUAAAUGCCUGGGUAAAUCGUAUGGCUUAACCAUACGAAUUCCGGGUAGACUGUUAGACUUGAGACCGGGAGAAGCUAGAGGUACUCCUGGGGUAGAGGUGAAAUUCUGUAAUCCUAGGGGGACGACCAGUGGCGAAGGCGUCUAGCUAGAACGGGUCUGACGGUGAGGGACGAAGCCCUGGGGCGCAAACGGGAUUAGAUACCCCGGUAGUCCAGGGUGUAAACGCUGCUUGCUUGAUGUUAGUCUGGCUCCGAGCCAGAUUAGUGUCGGAGAGAAGUUGUUUAGCAAGCUGCCUGGGAAGUACGGUCGCAAGACUGAACCUAAA
rnacentral:rRNA from 1 species